ACUCGAGCGGCGAACGGGUGAGUAACACGUGAGCAACCUGCCCCUGACUCUGGGAUAAGCCCGGGAAACUGGGUCUAAUACCGGAUAUGACCACUCCAGGCAUCUGGUGGUGGUGGAAAGUUUUUCGGUUGGGGAUGGGCUCGCGGCCUAUCAGCUUGUUGGUGGGGUGAUGGCCUACCAAGGCGACGACGGGUAACCGGCCUGAGAGGGCGACCGGUCACACUGGGACUGAGACACGGCCCAGACUCCUACGGGAGGCAGCAGUGGGGAAUAUUGCGCAAUGGGCGGAAGCCUGACGCAGCGACGCCGCGUGGGGGAUGACGGCCUUCGGGUUGUAAACCCCUUUCAGCAGGGACGAAGCUAACGUGACGGUACCUGCAGAAGAAGCGCCGGCUAACUACGUGCCAGCAGCCGCGGUAAUACGUAGGGCGCAAGCGUUGUCCGGAAUUAUUGGGCGUAAAGAGCUCGUAGGCGGUUUGUCGCGUCUGUCGUGAAAGCCCACGGCUUAACCGUGGGUCUGCGGUGGAUACGGGCAGACUAGAGGCAGGUAGGGGAGAAUGGAAUUCCCGGUGUAGCGGUGAAAUGCGCAGAUAUCGGGAGGAACACCGGUGGCGAAGGCGGUUCUCUGGGCCUGUACUGACGCUGAGGAGCGAAAGCGUGGGGAGCGAACAGGAUUAGAUACCCUGGUAGUCCACGCCGU
rnacentral:rRNA from 1 species